CCUACGGGGGGCAGCAGUGGGGGAUAUUGCACAAUGGGGGGAACCCUGAUGCAGCGACGCCGCGUGGGUGAAGAAGCGCCUCGGCGCGUAAAGCCCUGUCAGCAGGGAAGAAAAUGACGGUACCUGAAGAAGAAGCCCCGGCUAACUACGUGCCAGCAGCCGCGGUAAUACGUAGGGGGCAAGCGUUAUCCGGAUUUCCUGGGGGUAAAGGGAGCGCAGGCGGGGAUGCAAGCCGGGGGUCAACACUACGGGCCCAACCGGGGGGCGCACUCUGAACCGCAGGGCUUGAGUGAAGUAGAGGCAGGCGGAAUUCCUGGUGUAGCGGUGAAAUGCGUAGAUAUCAGGAGGAACACCAGUGGCGAAGGCGGCCUGCUGGGCUGUAACUGACGCUGAGGCUCGAAAGCGUGGGGAGCAAACAGGAUUAGAUACCCUGGUAGUC
rnacentral:rRNA from 1 species